GCCCUCGUAGCUCAAUGGUAGAGCGCGUCACUAGUAAUGGAAUGACGAGGUUGCCGGUUCGAUUCCGUCCGAGGGCA